rnacentral:rRNA from 1 species
CCCGGCGACCGGCGCACGGGUGAGUAACGCGUAUGCAACCUGCCCGGUUUCAGCGGGAUAACCCGGAGAAAUCCGGCCUAAUACCGCAUGUGGCCGAGGGGAGGCAUCUUCUUUCGGCCAAAGGAGGCGACUCCGGAGACGGAUGGGCAUGCGUGACAUUAGCUUGUUGGCGGGGUAACGGCCCACCAAGGCGACGAUGUCUAGGGGUUCUGAGAGGAAGGUCCCCCACACUGGUACUGAGACACGGACCAGACUCCUACGGAAGGCAGCAG